GAUGAACGCUGGCGGCGUGCCUAAUACAUGCAAGUCGAGCGAAUGGAUUAAGAGCUUGCUCUUAUGAAGUUAGCGGCGGACGGGUGAGUAACACGUGGGUAACCUGCCCAUAAGACUGGGAUAACUCCGGGAAACCGGGGCUAAUACCGGAUAAAAUUUUGAACAGCAUGGUUCGAAAUUGAAAGGCGGCUGCGGCUGUCACUUAUGGCUGGACCCGCGUCGCAUUAGCCAGUUGGGGAGGUAACGGCUCACCAAGGCAACGAUGCGUAGCCGACCUGAGAGGGUGAUCGGCCACACUGGGACUGAGACACGGCCCAGACUCCUACGGGAGGCAGCAGUAGGGAAUCUUCCGCAAUGGACGAAAGUCUGACGGAGCAACGCCGCGUGAGUGAUGAAGGCUUUCGGGUCGUAAAACUCUGUUGUUAGGGAAGAACAAGUGCUAGUUGAAUAAGCUGACACCUUGACGGUACCUAACCAGAAAGCCACGGCUAACUACGUGCCAACAGCCGCCGUAA
rnacentral:rRNA from 1 species